GGGGUUGUAGCUCAGUGGUAGAGUGCUUACCCCUCAAGUGUGAGGCACUGUGUUCAAUCCUCAGCUCCA
rnacentral:tRNA from 1 species